GAUGAACGCUGGCGGCGUGCCUAAUACAUGCAAGUCGAGCGAACAGACGAGGAGCUUGCUCCUCUGACGUUAGCGGCGGACGGGUGAGUAACACGUGGAUAACCUACCUAUAAGACUGGGAUAACUUCGGGAAACCGGAGCUAAUGCCGGAUAAUAUAUUGAACCGCAUGGUUCAAUAGUGAAAGACGGUUUUGCUGUCACUUAUAGAUGGAUCCGCGCCGCAUUAGCUAGUUGGUAAGGUAACGGCUUACCAAGGCAACGAUGCGUAGCCGACCUGAGAGGGUGAUCGGCCACACUGGAACUGAGACACGGUCCAGACUCCUACGGGAGGCAGCAGUAGGGAAUCUUCCGCAAAGGGCGAAAGCUUGACGGAGCAACGCCGCGUGAGUGAUGAAGGUCUUCGGAUCGUAAAACUCUGUUAUUAGGGAAGAACAAAUGUGUAAGUAACUAUGCACGUCUUGACGGUACCUAAUCAGAAAGCCACGGCUAACUACGUG
rnacentral:rRNA from 1 species